rnacentral:misc_RNA from 1 species
AGCAGCCGCGGUAAUUCCAGCUCCAAUAGCGUAUAUUAAAGUUGUUGCAGUUAAAAAGCUCGUAGUUGAAUUUCGGGGUUAGUAGGUUGGUCAUGCCUCUGGUAUGUACUGGUCUCACUGAUUCCUCCUUCCUGAUGAAUCUUAAUGCCAUUAAUUUGGUGUUUUGGGGAAUUUGGACUGUUACUUUGAAAAAAUUAGAGUGUUUAAAGCAAGCUAACGCUUGAAUACAUUAGCAUGGAAUAAUGAAAUAGGACGUUCGAUCCUAUUUUGUUGGUUUCUAGGAUUGACGUAAUGAUUAAUAGGGAUAGUUGGGGGCAUUAGUAUUCAAUUGUCAGAGGUGAAAUUCUUGGAUUUAUUGAAGACUAACUACUGCGAAAGCAUUUGCCAAGGAUGUUUUCAUUAAUCAAGAACGAAAGUUAGGGGAUCGAAGACGAUCAGAUACCGUCGUAGUACUUAACCAUAAACUAU